UGUAUUUUGUCAUUAAUGCUUUAUUGGACACGUGCUUAAUAUGUCAAAUUUUAUUGAGUGCUUUUUUAUCCUUUUAUUUUAUGGAAAGAAGUAAAACUAAAUUUUAUAACAAGAUGACAGGAGAUGACAAUAGUUAAUACAUUACAUAUUAUUAUCUUUAAAGUAGUUAUGGAGUACAAGGUAUGACAUAAAAAAUUCUCCAAUAAAUGUUAGUGCAAAUCCUCCUUUUCUAUGAACUUAGAGAUACUAAUAAUUUAGCUAACUUGCAUUUUCUCCCUUUUCCUUUCCUUCCUUUCCUCUACCCCAUCCUAGUUCUUUUUUUCCUUUUUAACAACUUCUUCCCAUUUUGCAAUGUUUAUUAUAUAUUUUAGGCCUUAUUUAUACCAGGGAGACAAUACAAUGUUUACACAUAUGAGUCUGAUUUAUUUCACUGAGUAUAGUCUCAAGUUCAAUCCAUUUACCUUCAAAUGACUCAAAUUUAUCUUUCUUUGAGCCUGAGUAGUUCUUCAUUAUAUAAAAAUAUCACCUUUUUAAAAUCCAUUCAUUGGUUGAUGGGUAUUUGGGUUGUUUCCAAGAUUUAGCUAUUACAAAUUGUGCUGCUAUAAACAUGGGUACACAUAUAUCACUGUAGUAUAAUGUUUUUAAUUUUUCUAUGAAGAUACCCAUAAGGAUAAUAGCUGGGUUGAAAGGGACCUCUAAUCCUAACUUUGUGAGGAAUCUCCAUACUGAUUUCCACAGUGGUUACACCAGUCUACACUCCCACCAACAGUGGAGAAUUAUUUUUUUUCCACAACCCUGCCAAUAUUUGUUAUCGCUCAAUUUCUUCUUAAUGGCAAGUCUUUCUGGAGUAAGAUAGAAUCUCAGUGUUAUUUUAAUUUGCAUCUCUCCAGUGACCAAUGAUGUUGAACAUUUUUUUCAUAUAUUUAUUUGCCACUUAUAUUUCUUCAUCUGAGAAGUUGAUAUUCAUCUCAGAUACCCAUUUUUGGACUGGGUCUUUGAAUUGGGGUGUCUGGUUUUUUCUAUUCUUCAUACGUUCUAGAUAGUUCCUUUUCUAAGGUACAGUUGGCUAAACUAUUUUCUAAGUCUGUGGGCUAUCUUUUAACUCUGUUGAUUUCUUUUUAUGUGAAAAUUUUUUUAAUAAGAUGAGAUCCCAAUUUUUGAUUCUUUGAAGUAUUUCCUGUGCAGUUUGGGUUUUGUUCAUGAACUCUCUCCCUAUGCCUAUGUCUUCAAUAUUUAUACCUACUUUCUCUUCCCAUAAAUUUAGUGUUUCUGUUUUAAUGUUUAUAUUUAGAUCCAUUUUGGCUAUAGUUUAUUGCACGAUGAUAAACAUGAGUCUAGCGUAAGUAUUUGGCAUACAGAGAAUCAGUUUUUCCAGCACCAUUUAUUGAAGAGGCUAUCUUUCUUCCAGUAAGCAUGUUUGGCCCCUGCCAAGGACAAGGUAGCUGAGUAUGUUUGUAGUUGUGUCUGCAUCUUCUAUUCUGUUCCCUUGAUCCUCAGGUCUGAUUUUUUUUGUGCCUGAACUGUGCUCAUUUUAUCACAAUAGCUUUGUAGUAUAAUUUCAGGUCGGGAUUGUGGUGCCUCUUGCUUUACCUUUGUUGUUCUGAAUCGCUUUUGCUAUUCUAGGUCUCUUCUGGUUUAAAUGAGUUUUAGCAAUGUUUUCUUCACUUCUGUGAAGUUGUAUGCUAAUGGUGUUCUGCUUGGGAUAGCAUUAAAUCUGUGUAGCAAUUUUGGGAGUAUGGCAUUUUCACUAUAUUUAUUCUUCCUAUCUACAAGCAAGGGGUAUCUUUCCUUUUGUUGUAUACCCUCUUCAAUUUCCUUUUUCAGUGUAUUGUAAUUUUCAAUGUAUAGACCUUUUACUUCCAUUUUUUAAUUUGAUAUUUAAAACAUUUAAAUUUUAUUUUAAAGAGGAUAAAACAGAAUAAAACCAAUCAAAACAAACCAGUGUAAGAGAUACAGGAUUUCAGUAAAUCCAAAAUUGAUACCAUAAUAUAUCUUGCUAUCUUUGAAAUAACUACUCCUACCAUUAGAUUUGAUAUAAUCAAAUAAAACAAUGGAAAUGGUAUAAGACUUCCAAAACAACCAUAGGAAAUGGCUACAAUCUUCAGAAGGAGAUCUCCCUAGAUGCCACACUGCAUACUGCUAUCCUCUGAACCUUUGACAGACUACUGGCCCUAGACCUGCAAUGUUAGUGAAAUACCAAAGCAUCACAGGCAUCCAAUUGCAUUUCACCUUGAUAGCUACCAUCACAGCCUGUGUUUUUCCAAAUAAGCCAAUUGUUUAUGGAGGUGAGGGGGCCUGGUACUUCUAGUUUGCCAACCCACACUGGAAGAAGCAGGAGUCUGGCUGUUCCAGUCCAAUGGCAGCCCGCACAUGGUACUGAUUCCCAGACUGGGCUUGCUUCCUGGUGUGGCCUUGUUUCCUCUACCAGAACUAUAUUGAAUAGGAGUGGUGGUGGUGGACAUCCUUGUCUUGUUCCUGAUUUUAGAGUGAAAGCAUUUAGCGUGAUGUUGAUUAUUUGUUUGUCAUAGAUGAUUUUUUUUAUCAGAUUAAGGUAAAGACAACUUAUUCCAAUUUUUUGUAGUAUUUUUAUCAUGAAUGAGUUUUGGACUUGUCAAAAGCUUUUUGUGCCUCUAUUGAGAUGAUCAUGUGCUUUUUGUCUUUGGCUCUGUUAAUAUGGUGUAUUACAUUGAUUUGCAUAUGUUGAACAAUUUCUGCACUGCUGGCAUAAAUUCUACUUGGUCAUGGUGUAUUAUCUUCUUGGUAAUUUGUUACAGUCUGUUUUGAAUCUAUGUUCAUUAGAGAGAUUAGUCUAUAGUUUUCUUUUUUGGUUGAAUCUUCUCUGGUUUUGGUAUCAAGGUAAUAGUUGCCUCCAGGAAUGAGUUAGAAAGUAUUGCUUCCCUUUCAAUUAAACUAAAGAGCUUGAGGGGUAUUGGCAUUAAAUCUUCUCUAAAUCUCUUGUAGAACUCAACAUGAAUCCAUCAGGACCUAGGCCUUUCUUUGUGGAGCAAUAAAGAAAAGAAAAAUAAAAUGGAACACAUCUUGGAUUGCUCUUCAUCUAAAGCUGUUGCUUUUUAUCAUUUUGAAAUUGCUCAGUCCAAACCCUUGAAGUACUAUUUUAAAAUAAGGGGAAUUAUAUGAAAGUACAGAAAAAGGUCCAACUUAUAAAAAUUGCUCUUUUUAAAACACAUAUAUAAUAGCUUAAAAAUUUAGAGCUCAGCAGCAGAAAGCUGUAGCUUAGGGAUUUGCGGGUCCUUAUAGUACAAAAAUUGCCUAGGUUUAAUGACAUCCAAAGAUGGGGAAAAAAAUCAUCCUGGGCUCCUUCCCAGUAGCAGGAAUCAUGGUUCUCACAGCACAUGCUGGGUGCAUCUAGCUACUUUUAAAAUAGAAAUCUACUUCUCUGAAUGCUGGAUACUGUGUUACUGGGAAGGAAUUGUUCUUCAUUGCCCCCAGAUUUGUCCUGUGCAUCUUGCAUAGUCUGCCUUUAAUGUUGUUACCCCUAUUAGUAUGAGUUAUCUUUUUUAUUCCCACUAGGUCUUUAAGUAUGUUGAACUUUGUUCUCAGUACAUAUUUUGAGUUCUUUAAGUCCUUAAGGUGGUAGUUUUUCUACUGUUUUUGACUUUGUAGAACAAAUUGUUUUAUGUCAUAACCCAUCACACACCCAUCACACCUGUCACACCUCUCUCUCUCUCUCUCUCUCUCUCUCUCUCUCAUACACACACACACACACACACACACACACACACACACAGAUUAAAUAUUUCAGGAAACAGUAUUCAAGCUUAAUGCAAGAAUAUUUUUAUCUGUUCUAUUAAAAUUCUGAAGAAGAAGAUUUUGGGUACUCACAUCUUACUAGUGCUGGUUUGAAGGGGGAACUGCUCUUAGUUUUCUUGUUUUAUUUCCAGGAUGGGGACACAACCAUAGCUGGAAUCCAGGAAUGGAGGCAUAGACUUUCUGACCUUGAAAGUGAAAUUCACAACCUAUAUUUCAGUGUGCAUCUGACCUUGCAGAAAAGACUGAUGUACUUAUAUUUUAGUCACAUCUUGUAAUCCUUGGUGCAUAUCUAGCUGGCCAGAGUGUUAUGGGUUUCAGCCCAGAAAUAGAAGGAGAACUCAUAUCAGCAGCUCAUACUUACUCUUGCUCUUGUGCUCUGGGGAGGUAGUUUUAGUGCUAGAAAGUCAAAGUUUAAUAACUGAUACCUCUCUCUGUCUAUGAGCACCAGUCUCAGGCCUGUGUUGCAGUGAUAUGAGGACUGAGCUUGGGUUAAGAACCAAGCCAGGGAUGAGAAGAAACACCUAGAAAUUCCAAGUUUAGUGGCCAAGUUCAGUAGGUGGUAUCUGCCAUCCUGGUACACAGUUCAGGAAGUGGUAGCUACUCCAGUAGUUUCAUUAUACUAACGGUAGAGACAACUGCUUGAUGAGCUACUCAGCACUUAACUGCCAUCUCCAAUCAGGGCACAUUUAAUGAAGCCACCCAAAUUAAUGAGUGUAAGCUGUCAAUGCGGCGUCAGCUGAAAGGAAAGUGAAAGGAGUGAAGAAGGAGAUUUCUGUGCUUUUUAAAAGAGAGGUGAGCUGUUUUUGUUAUAAAUCGUUUUGGGAGUGACAAGUAUUAUGUGAAAGAAAAUGAAUAUUGCUUCUUCUCACACAGAGUAAUUAUCUGUAGACCUCAGAGUUAAAAAUAAAACCUAAGUCAUUUAGGAAGAUGGCUGCGCAGCCUGUGAAUUAUUGAGUAUUUCAGCUCAUUGCAAUGAACUGUUAGCAUAAAUAAUAAAACAUUUAAAGUUAUUAGCUUUGAACCUAUUGUUAAGUAUCUGUAUAUUUCUGACUUUUUAUAUAUUAAAUUAAGAAAGACUGUGGAGAGAACACAACAUGGAUAAGGCAGGAGCAUCUUAAAUAUUUCCUGGUUCAUUCCUUUUGGCAGCUGAGUAAACACAGGUCAUUUCUGGAAAGAGGUGAAAUAAAAAAAAUCAGCUUCAUCAAAGACACACUGUUAUGAACUGCUCCAAGUGAAAACUCUGUCUCUCUCAGUGUCCAAAGACAGUCCUACUUGCCAAUUAGCCCUGAAACUAUCCUGUCUUCCUUGUUUGGCCUUCAGGUUUUUAUUUUAUCCUUUAAGUUCAAUUAUCUUGCUCUCUUUUAAAUAGCUCAUCUAGCAGUGUGAGAAGGUGAUAUUAGUUUGCCUGCCACACAAGUUGCCUGCAGUCUCAUGCAGGUUAGCCUUUGCCUAAAUUCUUCCAACACAGUUGUAAGAAAGUUUAAGAGUUGCAUGUAUAUGGUUUUAGUUGUAAUGAUCGACUUUCCAAUUAAUAGUUCUAUUUAAAAUAGAGUGUGGAGUUGGCUAGACCAUUGCUUCUUCUACAGUGGACUCAUCUCCACUUGUAUUAAAAGUAGGAGGGUUUGAGAGAGAAAAAAGAUGACGGAUAGAUAACAGCAGCUACAGAGGCUCUCUGAGAUAGCCAACUUAGAUUCCAAAAAUAAUACAGCAUGGGGAGUCCCAAACAGAGGGAGAUACACCCUGCCAACCCAGGAAUGAACUAAACUAAGAGAAACCAAUUAAAAAUACAGUUCUGGUGCUACGAUUGGAAAAGCUAAAGCCUCGGUGCUGCUGCUGGAACUCGCGGCUUGAACACCCUCCUGCUGCUGCAUCUGAAUUGGCACAGCCGGGAUAGCCCGCUAGUUUCAAGUCACUGGAGAUGCAAAUGCUCUGAGAGUGGGAAUCGGUGAACCAAACUGAGAGCAGAGCUGGUGGGGAACCCUGCAUCGAUUGGCAGUGAUUGAGGAGAAUAAAAACCCUUCCAUAGACAAAAGAGGCUCCAACAGACGACCUUCUGGGACUGGGCAGACUAGCCAGAACAAGGUGCUGCAGUGACUUCAGGCAGAUAUUCCCUUCUCAAGUGGGAUUGAUGUGGAGCACUUGACCUGGGUGACACCAUGGGCUGAGGCCCUAUAGGCUAGCCCUAACCAAGUCCCUAUGCCGGAUAGUGUACCCUAACGCAGUGAAGCCUUCAGUAGGUUGACCUGGGGGGUGGGCCCAACAGAGGCUGCCCCGGUCUGUUCCUCCUAAUACAUUGCAGUGGGCAGGACCACCUAGUCAGCGUGCUUCAGACAAACUGAAACUGACAAAGAAAGAAACUGGGCCUCCUAUAUAUGCCUGUAUGGGAAGAACAAAAAAUAUGAGAAGAGGAGGCAACAAGAAAGGGUCCUUGGUCCCCAGUCCUGAGAAUACUGAUCCAGGAAAGAUAAAUGCAAAGGAGAAUGACAGAAAACAUGCAAUAUCAGGCAUGGCACUAAUAGACAUAAAGUGAUAUCUUGAGGACCUCAUAGAUGAGUUCAAAAGUGAAGUAUUUAACCAAGUAAAGCAAGAUAUAAUUAGAAUAAUUAAAGAAAUGCUAAGUACCUCUCAAGAAAAAACAGAUGGUAGAAUGGAAGAACAGAAAAGAAAGGAGAGAAUUGUUUGAUGGAAAAAAUAAAGAAAACAUAGAAUACAUGAAGCAAUUUCAAAGAGAUUACCAGGAAACUAAAAACUCUAUUGAAAGCUGGCAUAACAGCUUAAAAGAAACUAAGGAUAGAUUAUCCGAACUGGAGGACAAGUUUGUAAUGUGGGAACGUGAAAGGAAAAACUUCUUAAAAAUAACAAGGAAACAAGCAGUAACAAUACAAAGGCCAGAAGAUGACAAGAGGAUCUAUAACUAAGGAAUAGAGAAUGUGAAUGAAGAAGCAGGGGUACAAACAAAGGAACUACAAAGGCUAUUCACAGAAAUAAGGAAAACUUCCCAAACAGAGGGAAAGGAAAAGAUGCCCAGAUGUAUGAGGCAUACAGAGCUCCAGCCACCUACAAUCAAAAUAGAACUACACCCAGGCAUAUAAUAAUUAAGAUUCCAGAAACCCAAUAUAAGAACAGAAUAUUAAAAGCUGUCAGAGACAAGAAACAGAUCAUUUACAAGGGAAAACCCAUCAGAAAUACAACAGACUUCUCAGCAUAAACCAUCAAGAAGAGCCUGGAGUGAAAUAUUCCAAGUCCUGAAAGAAAAUAACCUGUAUCCCAGGUUGAUAUACCCUGAUAAACUGUCUCUAAAAAUUAAUGGAGAAACAAGAUGCUUCCAAGACAAAGAGGAACUGGGGGAAUUCACAAUCACCAAUCCAACUCUACAGAGAAUACUACAGGACAUUCUAAAGAGAGAGAAAAGCACAAAGAUUUCAGGAACAAUGGCAGAGGGGCCCCAAUGAAUGGAACAAAAAGCGAAAUGAAGAAGACAAACAGACAACUAAUGAUGAAAAAAGAGCACAACAGAAAUGAAGCAGAGAAGGUUGGAUAUAAUCUCUAAUAUAGAUGGCCUAGAUACCCUAACUUAAGGGAAAAAAGAGAGAUUGGCAGGCAGAGUGGAUCAAGAAGUAGAAUCCACCGAGAGGCACUUUAUAGGAAAUAUAAUUAGCCUGAAGAAGGUUAUAUGGACCAAAAUCAAAUAUGAGAAAACAGAACUUGAUGUGAUAGGGAACCAGAGAGUAAUAGGGGUAACUGGACCAGUAUUUAUGGAUAGGUUGAACAGAUAGACUUUAAUAAAUGAAGAAAUAUAACUAGAAAUCCAGUCCAGGAGUGAGAAAGUUCGGAAACACUUAGAUAAAUAGCAGGUUGAUCUCCCUAAUAUAAAACUAUGAGUGUUGGGGAGACCCAAAAAUACACUUCAUCCUGGGAGUGAAAGAGGAGGAAUAGUCUUUACAAAAACUGCAGAAGAUAUCACUAAUAGUAUAUCAGGAAUUAAAACCCUUAUUAUUCGCACCCUCUGCUUGGAUGGAAUUUGUUCUCUCCUAGUUUGUAUACAAGCACUGGAUCUGAGGGCACAGACAGCUGUCCCGAAGAUAUCAGGACAUAGCACAGUGGUCAUCUUUAAUUUCCUAUUAACUCAAUCAGGAUCCUUGUAUGACUUAUACUGUUGUAUCAUGACUGAUCUUAGUUAAAUCUGACUUGUUUGAUUGCUGCUUAUUAUUGACAGAUUUUAUUCAAAACUGUUAGGUUGCUGGUAUCAAGUUGAGGAGUAUAGACAGCUAUACUGAAAAUGACAAUGAUUCACUAUGAUACCCAAUCUGAUUUGAUUACUACCUGUUUUUGUAGCUCUGCACUAUCUACAAAGUUGUAUUUCUAUUAAUACUGCUAUGUACUGAUAUAUUCAAUUAUACUUUAUCUGAUGAUAUAGCCAAUUCUGUUGAUGAUAACAAGAAACAGCACAGUGACUAUGGUAGAACUCCUUAUACAGCAGUUUUAUAUGUCUUUUUAGUUUUAUGUGUCUAUAAGAAUAUAUUUAGUUCUGUCCUGCUUUGUUCUGUUUUUCCCUCUAAUAUAGAAAGGAUAGAAAUACAUGUUAAGACUCAUGCUUGCAUAAAACCUAUAAACGGUUUAUGAGAACUGAUCUUAUGACACAUGAUGAAAUGAACAAAUACUCUGAAGGAAAGAAAGGGGCACUGCAGUACCCAGUGCUGAUUCUGGAGUGUUAUGAUGUGAAAUCCAGCAAUAUUAUUAAUUUUUGUUCAGGAUUUUAAUCUAAUUAGUUUAGUUAGGUCUUAACAUAAAUGAAGAUAUGGAUAAAUACAUACAUGUCUAACUAUAGGAUUGAUAGCCAUAUUACUUAGUUUUUGUUGGAUAGUUGAACAGAACUGUUUGCAGUCUCCCUGAUUGAAUUCCCAUUUAUAUGUUCCACUUUUGUAUCUUGAACAACUAUUUGUGGGUGGACAAUAUAUAUAUACAUCAACUAGUGAUUUAUCACUGUUUAUUUCUUUUCUUUGAAAGUAUAUACUAUUUCUGCCCAUUUUCUAUUUUGUUUUGUCUUUCUUUAAAUAAAAAAAGUAGGAGGCUUCUCACUUUAAUAACCUUAAUAGGUGGCUAAAUCUCAAAGUGUAUCAUCGGUAACCUAUCUCUUUUUACGAGAUUGGUUUACUGAAGAGAACAAAUACCUGCCUUUCAAGACCAGUUUGCAUGGAUCAGUGAGAAAGGAAGGUUUUCUUGCACACAAAAACAAUGGACAACAAAUUGCUUCCUAUUUCAGACAAUGGUAAAUUUCAGACACACUUAUCUACUGCCACUUGGUGAAUUAACUCUUCAUGCUAUAACUUUUUGUGACUUUCAAGAUGCAGGAUUUCAUCAGACUGUAAGUCACCCAGAAAAGGGAAGUUAUUUGAGGUGUGUGUGUGUGUGUGUGUGUGUGUGUGUGUGUAAUUUAUAUGGGAACUGGAAGUUGAGCACUCCUACUCUGGAAAACGCAGAGAGGUCUGAAUGCUUUUACUGUGGUCAGUACCAUCAUUCAUUCUUACACAUGUAACCCCUUUUAAUUUUUCAAUAAGACAAAAAUAUUUUGUAAUCAACUAUUCAGAGCAAUGACAGAGAAAAAGAAAUAUUUUAUGGAGAAUCAAAUACUGCAUUUUAAUUUUCCCCAGGAGAGCUGAUGAAGAAUGUGUGACUUAUAUCUAUGAUCUACCAACCAGAAGAUAGGGUUGUCAGUGACCACAAGAAAACCAAAACAACAUUCUAAUGAAUGGACAUGAUUUCCUAAAUAGCUGACACGAACAAUUCUGGCAUAACAGGUGUGCCACAUUGCCUUGAUGCCUCGGCUGUGUGACAGCCUGUCAGUCUGGCUGCAUGUAGACUGCAGAUGGCUGUGUCAUGGGAGUGUGCAGCACACAGGGUGCUGAAGGUAAUGCUCACCAAGGUGCAGCUAUAUUGUGAAGCUCUGCAUGCAUGUGUCCCUCCAAAAUUCAUAUGAAGACUAAUAAUCAAGGCGAUUGAUAUUAGCAGGACUUUGGAAAGUGAUCAGGCCAUAAGGAUUGGAGCACUCAUGGAUGGGAUUAGUGUUUUGAUAAAUGGGUCCCAGAGAGCUUCUACUAGGUGAGGACACCCAUGAACAAGGACAUUGCCCCUCACUGAACACCCAGCUGCUAAUCUCUACAACUGUGAAAAAAAUUUCUUUCUUUCUUUUUUUUUUUUUUUUUUGUCUUUUUUUCAUUUUUUAUCGGUACCAGGGAUCGAACUCACGACUGCCUGCUUACAAGGCAGGCGCUUAUGCCGCUGAGCUAAAUCCCCCCCCCCCAAAUUUCUGUUGUUUACAAGUUUCUUUGGCUGCAGAAUUUUGUUACAGCACCCCAAACGCACCAAGACAAAUGUCAUUAUAUUUAAAUAUGUAAUACAGAAUGAUACAAACAGUAGAAAUCAAAAACAUUGACGGGAAAAUGGCGCUCAUUUUAUGAGAUUCUAAUAGUUUUAAAAUGAGCAAGCCAUGAGUAUUCUGAAAACAAAAACAAAAUCACAGGGCCUGUGUUACCAUGCAUUGUAACUGUGGGGAUGAGAAGAGGGUGCCCUCGUCAUACCAGGCUACACUUUGGCAUGUGAAAUCUCUCUAGCAGGUGUCCUUACAGUGGAGAGGACAUGGGCCACCAUUAAAACGUGGUGUCAAGAGAACUUUCAUUCACAAAUGAAGUAUUUUUUAAAAUUUAAUUUGUGAUUAAUGUGUAUUAAUGGCACACACUGAUAGAGCUCAGAGUGAUGCUUCAAUAUUGGCAUACAGUACACACUGAUCAAAUUCAGAUGCCCCUCCCCUUACCCACAACCCCAAAUAACCAGGAUUCUACAGUCAAGGCAACUUGUUUUAAAUUCCCACUUACGACAGAGAACAUGCGUUAAUUCCCCUUCUGGGUCUGGCUUAUUUCACACAAUGCAGGGGUUUUUUCCUCCUGCUUCUUCUCCAUCUUCUUUCUCUUUCUUCUUUUAGUGGGCAUUGAAAACAGGGUGUACUGAGCUACACCCCUAGCCUGUUUUUCGUUUCUAUUUUGAGACAGGGUCUCCUGAAAGUAGGAUUGCUGGAUCAUACAUAGUUCUAUUUUAGCGGUGGAAGAGUUUCCACACUCUUCUCCAUAAUGAUGUACUAAUUUACAUUCUCGCAAAGAGUCUGCGACUGUUCCUUCUUUUCUCCAUCCUCAAUAGCACCUGUCAUUCAGUUUUCGACCAUAGUUGUUCUCGCUCACGUAAGAUGAUUGUAAUCCAACUACCAAAGGGCAAAUGCUCUGACUAUACCCCAGUCAAAAGAAGGGAUACAAACAGCUAAAAAUACAUGAGAGAACACUCAGUAUUGUUAUCCACUGGGAAAAUGCAAAUCACAGUGAUACUGGAUUCUUUUGGUCAAAAUCACACAUCCAGGAGUAUGAUCAGGGCGCUCUUCGGUUUUCACUGAGAUUUGUUUUCUCAUUUGAUCUUUGCAGGAAUGCUGUGGUGGCAAUGUUUUCUGACUCAAUUUUCCAAGUCCAGCUUUCUAACUCUAAAUCCAGACUUAUUCGUUUGACCUUUUGAGUUCAUUGUCUUAGUUCUCGGUUUCCUCCCCCUCAGAACCCUUUCUCCCACCUAAAGUUUUAAAGUGGUAGUUUUAGAAUCUUGAAGAUUUGUGCCCCCCUCCCUCUAUUUUUGUUUUUCAAUGGUGGAGAUUGAACCACACAUGCUAUGCAAGAUAUCUACUACCCCCAAUCCUUUUGAACUGUUGGGGACAGUUUUCUUGCUAAGUUGUUUAGGUUGGCUUUGCAAUUGCUAUCGUCCUGCCUCUACCUCCCGAGUAACCGGAAUUACAGAUGUGUGCCAUCUUAUCUGGCAAAGAUUCCCAUUUAUCUUGAGCAUAUAAGAAGAAGGCAAUAUUGUGAUGGCUCUGAAGACUGGUCCUUGGGUUUCGUGUAAAAUGAGGUGGGGUUUGAUUUAGAGAACUAUUAUGAGGACUAAAGAGUUGAUCUUUGAGAAGUAUUUAGGAUAGCGAGUGCAUGGCAAGUAGAGAUCAGUGAUGCCAACUCUUAUUGUCAGACAUUGUGAUGCACAAUUCAACAGAUCCCAAGUGCUGCAACACAAUAUUUGAAUAGUGCUUAUGCUGCUGAGCUAUACUCCUGGCCCUUGGGUUUAUCUUUCAUUCAGCAUACUGAUUGUGACAUAUACUGAAACCAUUGUUUCCAUCAGUAGUUUUUCUCACUUUACUGCUGAACAGAUCCCAAGUGCUGCCAGGAACACCAUGGUCCACAUCCUGCCAGGAGCACCUCAACAGUGACCUAGCUUCUUCCUUGCUAAAGUUUGUGAUUAAUGGUGGAGACAGAUAUAGAAGAGAUAUAAUGAGGUAUAUGCAGGGUUAGAGUUUUGUAUAGAAGAUGUACUUGAUUUUCAAAAGCUUUAUUGAAGUAUUAUUCAAUAUAUUGCCUAUAUUUGAAGUAUACAGUGUGGUAAGCUUUGGCAUACAUCUAAGCCAUGAAACCAUUACCCCAAUCAAGAUAAUGAAUGUCACCGUGAUCCUCCCAACUUCCCCUUUAAAAUCCUUCCCUCUUCUUUCAGGCGAUCAUCAGUGAACUUUCUAUUGCUAUGGGCUAGUUUUCAUUCUUUAGAAUUUUACCAGGUGUAAUCAUUUUGAGCUUCACUCUUGUGUUGCAUGGACCACGGUUGAUUCCUCUCUGUGGCUGAGUGAUAUUCUGUCACUGUACCUGGCUGUGUUGCAACUUAUUUAUUCAUUCACUUACUGAAGGAAACUUGACUUGUUUUCAGUUUUUUGGCUCUGAACAAUAAAGUUGCUAGCAGUGGUUCUAAACACAGAGCUCUAACAGUGCCUAAAUUACCUUGGUGAGGGGACACACCCAUGAAACCAUUGCCACAGUGAAGACACCAAGUAUGUCUGUCUCUCUCAGCAGCUGCUCCCCUGUACAUUAAUCUAUGUUUUCAUAAAUUUCGUGCAAAUGAAUUAUGUAAUAAAUAUGCUUCUGGGCUUAUCA